GAUGAACGCUGGCGGCGUGCUUAACACAUGCGAGUCGAACGGAAAGGCCCUGCUUUUGUGGGGUGCUCGAGUGGCGAACGGGUGAGUAACACGUGAGUAACCUGCCCUUGACUUUGGGAUAACUUUAGGAAACUGGGGCUAAUACCGGAUAGGAGCUCCUGCUGCAUGGGGGGGGUUGGAAAGUUUCGGCGGUUGGGGAUGGACUCGCGGCUUACCAGCUUGUUGGUGGGGUAGUUGCUUACCAAGGCUUUGACGGGUAGCCGGCCUGAGAGGGUGGCCGGCCACCUUGGGACUGAGAUACGGCCCAGACUCCUACGGGAGGCAGCAGUGGGAAGUAUUGCACAAUGGGCGGGAGCCUGAUACAGCGACGCCGCGUGCGGGAUGACGGCCUUCGGGUUGUAAACCGCUUUCGCCUGUGACGAAGCGUGAGUGACGGUAAUGGAUAAAGAAGCACCGGCUAACUACGUG
rnacentral:rRNA from 1 species